rnacentral:rRNA from 1 species
UACGGGGGGGGCAAGCGUUGUUCGGAAUUACUGGGCGUAAAGGGCUCGUAGGUGGCCAACUAAGUCAGACGUGAAAUCCCUCGGCUUAACCGGGGAACUGCGUCUGAUACUGGAUGGCUUGAGUUCGGGAGAGGGAUGCGGAAUUCCAGGUGUAGCGGUGAAAUGCGUAGAUAUCUGGAGGAACACCGGUGGCGAAGGCGGUAUCCUGGACCGAUACUGACACUGAGGAGCGAAAGCCAGGGGAGCAAACGGG